rnacentral:rRNA from 1 species
UACGGAGGGGGCUAGCGUUGUUCGGAAUUACUGGGCGUAAAGCGCACGUAGGCGGCUUUGCAAGUCAGAGGUGAAAGCCCGGGGCUCAGCCCCGGAAUUGCCUUUGAGACUGCAUCGCUAGAAUUGUGGAGAGGUAAGCGGAAUUCCGAGUGUAGAGGUGAAAUUCGUAGAUAUUCGGAAGAACACCAGUGGCGAAGGCGACUUACUGGACACAUAUUGACGCUGAGGUGCGAAAGCGUGGGGAGCAAACAGG